rnacentral:rRNA from 1 species
GACGAACGCUGGCGGCGUGCUUAACACAUGCAGGUCGAGCGGUAAGGCCCUUUCGGGGGUACACGAGCGGCGAACGGGUGAGUAACACGUGGGUGACCUGCCCUUAGCUCUGGGAUAAGCCUGGGAAACUGGGUCUAAUACCGGAUAUGACUCCAUAACGCAUGUUGUGGGGUGGAAAGCCUUGUGCGGCUAGGGAUGGGCCCGCGGCCUAUCAGCUUGUUGGUGGGGUGAUGGCCUACCAAGGCGACGACGGGUAGCCGGCCUGAGAGGGCGACCGGCCACACUGGGACUGAGACACGGCCCAGACUCCUACGGGAGGCAGCAGUGGGGAAUCUUGCGCAAUGGGCGAAAGCCUGACGCAGCGACGCCGCGUGGGGA